UAGGAUCACAUUGGAGACAAAGUAGCAGGC
rnacentral:piRNA from 1 species